rnacentral:rRNA from 1 species
AUUGAACGCUGGCGGCAGGCCUAACACAUGCAAGUCGAGCGGAGCGGCGGACGGGUGAGUAAUGCCUAGGAAUAUGACUGGUAGUGGGGGAUAAAGUCCGGAAACGGGCGCUAAUACCGCAUCCUCAUAGAUGCGCCUAGGUCGGAUUAGCUAGUUGGUGGGGUAAAGGCCUACCAAGGCGACGAUCCGUACCUGGGUUGAGAGGAUGAUCAGUCACACUGGAACGGAGACACGGUCCAGACUCCUACGGGAGGCAGCAGUGGGGAAUAUUGGACAAUGGGCGAAAGCCUGAUCCAGCCAUGCCGCGUGUGUGAAGAAGGUCUUCGGAUUGUAAAGCACUUUAAGUUGGGAGGCGUUACCAACAGAAUAAGCACCGGCUAACUACGUGCCAGCAGCCGCGGUAAUUC